rnacentral:miRNA from 1 species
AACGGAUCCCGUUCGCAUCCUGAGGUACCACUGUGUGUGUGUGUGUAUACACACACACACACAGUGGUACCUCAGGAUGCGAACGGGAUCCGUU